GUGAGGAAUAUUGGUCAAUGGCCGUAAGGCUGAACCAGCCAAGUAGCGUGCAGGAUGACGGCCCUAUGGGUUGUAAACUGCUUUUAAACGGGGAUAAAGUGAGCCACGUGUGGUUUAUUGCAGGUACCGUUUGAAUAAGGACCGGCUAAUUCCGUGCCAGCAGCCGCGGUAAUACGGAAGGUCCGGGCGUUAUCCGGAUUUAUUGGGUUUAAAGGGAGCGUAGGCGGAGCGUCAAGCCAGCAGUGAAAUGUAGCGGCCCAACCGCUGCACUGCUGUUGGAACUGGCGCCCUUGAGUGCACACGAGGCAUGCGGAAUUUGUGGUGUAGCGGUGAAAUGCAUAGAUAUCACGAAGAACUCCGAUUGCGAAGGCAGCUUUCCGGGGUACAUCUGACGCUGAAGCUCGAAAGUGCGGGAAUCAAACAGGAUUAGAAACCCCUGUAGUCC
rnacentral:rRNA from 1 species